AAAAAAAAAGUUCUAGCAGUAACUAUCUUCUCUUAUGUGUCCCUUAGAAAGCGUUUUGAAGGCAUUAGAAGUCUUGACCAAAACUUAGUGACUUUUGGAUCCAACACCUAAAGGUGGAUGUAUUGAGUUAGAAUAGGUUAAUGUGGUGAUUAUUCUUCAAACACGAUUCUAAGCAAUGCUCAAAACAAUCAACGUGGUCCCGAAACUCAUAUUUUGGUUUACGUUUAAAGACAACUACAAGACGUGCUUCAUUUCUACAAGACAAUAACACUUGGAUCGUCAACUUAAUACUCAAGGCUACGAAUAUGUAAAAUGGUAUAAGAGUGUCAAUCCAGAGAACUCUUCGAGGCAUGCAUUUUACUACUGUCCAAGGCAUGCAUUUUACUACUGUCCAAGGCAGUCGUGGUAACAAAGGGCGACGAGGAAGAGGUGGACCGUGGACGAGGCAAAAAAAAGCUUUAAAUCUACACAUACUCCUCUUCCCUUCUCUUGUUGAUUGCUUACUUCAAUGUAAUCACCUACUAUCAUGUACUUUU
rnacentral:sRNA from 1 species